UCCGAGUUUCACGCAUCACUGCGAUCAUCAGGAGACAUUGUUCUCAAAUACCGUUUGAUUUUCGUUGUUUGAUGGCGUGACUGCGCGCGCGCGCGAGGAUUGUUGAUGUUGCUUACACGCGCGCAGACUACAUUUCCCGCUAAAAAUUGUUUCUGAUGCACGCACUUCGAGAAGAUUUCCGAUCUUUUGUUGAGUAGAUUUUUGUCGCGAGAUUUUAAAAUCAGCAUCCGAUAUCUGCAUAAAAAUAAAAAAAAAAUAAUGACGGCGCUGAAAUAUAUGAUCUUGUCGGCUUAUAUAUGCUAAAUGUCCUUACCAAUGAGUUUGGGAAAGAACGUGUUGGUUUGUAUCGGGAUGACGGACUUGUUUUAAUCAAAGGAAAGAGCGGGCGCAUUGCUGAUAAGGUACGGAAAAAGUUGCAUACAUUAUUCGAACAGUUCAACUUGAAAAUUACGGCCCAAGUAAACCACCAAUCUGUCAACUUUCUAGACGUCACAUUCAACCUUGCAGAGAAACGCUACCAACCAUAUAGAAAACCCAAUAAUGAACCCAUUUACAUUGACAGUCGUUCGAACCACCCACCAACCAUAAUUAAACAACUACCUAAAUCAAUAAAUAACCGUAUAUCAAAUUUAUCCUCUGAUCAGCAAACCUUCAAUUCAUCAGCACCAACCUACGAGAAUGCAUUACGUCGUAGUAAUUAUGAUUUUAAUUUACAAUACAAUGCCACGCCUUCAAGUAAUAUUGACGACACCAACACUGAGAGUUGUACGUCCAGCCAACCCAAACGCAAAAGACACAGAAACAUACUAUGGUUUAACCCACCUUACAGCAAAAACGUAGCAACAAACAUUGGUAAAACCUUUCUUCAACUUAUCGACAAACAUUUCCCUAAAUCAAGUCGUCUGCAUAAGAUCUUUAACCGCAAUUCAACCAAAAUUAAUUACAGCUGCAUGAAGAAUGUCAAGACAACCAUUUCUAACCACAACACGAGAAUUAGAUCGACCGAACCCACGGCAACAGAAGAAAUUAACUGUAACUGCCGCAAGAAAGAUGAAUGCCCCCUCCAGAAGAAAUGUCUGACACAGGCUAUCGUGUACCAAGCCGAAGUAAAGAGUCACGACAACGGUGAAACGAAGCGGUAUAUUGGGGUAACAGCUGGGGAAUUCAAAGACAGGUACAGAAACCAUAAAAAAUCAUUCCAGCUUCAGAGAUAUGCGAACGAAACGGAGCUAUCGAAGCAUAUUUGGAAAUUGAAGAGAAGCGGAAGACCUUACAACACCACUUGGUCCAUUCUGAAGAAGGCUGUCCCAUACACAAGCGGAAGACCAAGAUGCAACCUAUGCUUGCAAGAGAAGCUGCUGAUUUUAAAAUCUCGCGACAGAAAUCUACUCAACAAAAGAUCGGAAAUCUUCUCGAAGUGCGUGCACCAGAAACAAUUUUUAGCGGGAAAUGUAGUCUGCGCGCGUGUAAGCAACAUCAACAAUCCUCGCGCGCGCGCGCAGUCACGCCAUCAAACAACGAAAAUCAAACGGUAUUUGAGAACAAUGUCUC
rnacentral:lncRNA from 1 species